ACUGGUUACUGAGAAAUGUAGCUUUAAAGCAGAUUUCUAAUAUGGUCUUAAGACAAGUGCUAGAGGCACAAGGCUGGGAAACACCAUAUGAUGCCUGAGCUCACAUCCCUAUGGGAACAGCCAGGUGCAUACCACUCUUGGAGACAUGAUCAAUGCCAAUGAGUUAUUUUCUUCCUACAGCAUUGUACAGAAUUAAUACAAAAUAUCACAUAUCACUUCCAUAAUUCCUGUUAGAGAAAAAAUUUCUCAACUUAUAAAAACAUUUAGUCUUUAUAGUAAUAGUUCACUAGGAAAAAAUACAUCAAAUACACAUUAAGGCUACGAGAACUACUGAAACUCAUGACAUCAACGAAUGCUAGGUGAUAUGGUGGAGUGCCCUAUUAAUUCCUUUUCAGACCAGCCUUACCUCAUCAUGAGCAGGAUGACUAAAUUACAUCACACUCUACUGGUUGUUUGUACUGUGGGAUGUAUGGCAGUGUGUCCUCCUUCGGAGGACCUUGGUCCUUGCCAGUGUCAUGAAGACAGUAAUGGUAUUCCAGCUCUACAGUGUCAGGAUGUGACUGGCUGG